rnacentral:rRNA from 1 species
GAUGAACGCUGGCGGCGUGCCUAAUACAUGCAAGUCGAGCGAACAGACGAGGAGCUUGCUCCUCUGACGUUAGCGGCGGACGGGUGAGUAACACGUGGAUAACCUACCUAUAAGACUGGGAUAACUUCGGGAAACCGGAGCUAAUACCGGAUAAUAUAUUGAACCGCAUGGUUCAAUAGUGAAAGACGGUUUUGCUGUCACUUAUAGAUGGAUCCGCGCCGCAUUAGCUAGUUGGUAAGGUAACGGCUUACCAAGGCAACGAUGCGUAGCCGACCUGAGAGGGUGAUCGGCCAGACUGGAACUGAGACACGGUCCAGACUCCUACGGGAGGCAGCAGUAGGGAAUCUUCCGCAAUGGGCGAAAGCCUGACGGAGCAACGCCGCGGGAGGGAUGAAGGUCUUCGGAUCGUAAAACUCUGUUAUUAGGGAAGAACAAAUGUGUAAGUAACUAUGCACGUCUUGACGGUACCUAAUCAGAAAGCCACGGCUAACUACGUG